GUGCGAGCAGAGGAUCAAUCAAACUUGGGCUGGAAUGAUUGUAGUGCAUCCAAUGGAUCUUGGAAAUCGUAGUUUACAUCUACAGCAGCAUAUGCUACAGCAGUGACAACGCCAAAGAAAAGGACUACAUUUCCCAGAAUGCACCUGCACCCACUCAUCUGCCCCUUCAGGUGCGACCGCUUCACCUAUGGGCUUGACGGGAAAAUUCAAAAUCGCGAACCGUUACAGCCUGGACUACUCUUUGUUUGCUUGCACAUCAACAGUAAGAGGUCAUGUACACUGUGGUCAACUUUGUGGACGCUGAAGAGGUUUCUGGGUAAAGAUGAUUGAAAUAUAAUGAAGUAACAGUGGAAGCUAAAACAUCAGACUGAUCCAGACACUGAAGAAAUUGAUGUCACUGCAAUCUGGCCAAAAUGAUACAACUAUAUUGAAGUAGCCUACUGUAAUAAAGCUGCAGAACGACACAGAGACUCUGAGGACAUCAACACAGAAAAUCAUGGCUCCAAAGAGAUGUCUGUCCAGAUGAGGGUGCAUCAACGUUACCUUUGCUGACAAGUAUAUGCUUUUAGCAGUUAACUUAACUCAAACCAUUUAAGGAAAUCGGUUGCCUUAAAUCAUUAAGUUUUAAAAAACAUACAUUUGAGUACAUUGAACUUAAGUCUUGUGCAAUUAUGCACUUAUAUUUAGGUAGCGUGAACUUAAACAAAUUGAGUCACAUGCAGUUAAGCACUUAUAUUUAAGUUCACAGUACUCAAAUCUGUGUGUUUUAAAACUUGAAUGGUUUAAUGCAACCGGUUUUCUUAAAUGUGAGAAAUUACAGUGUUACAGUGAGAAAUGUUUGAAUAAUUCCAAGGCAGAGCUCUAAUUCUACACUGCAAAAAAUCACUUUCUAACACUUUUUAUCUUGUUUUCAGUAGAAAAACUAAAAAUUCUUAAAUCAAGAUGUAUUUUCUUGAUGAGCAAAAUUACCUUAGAAAAUAUGUCUAGUUUUUAGACAAAAAUAUACAAUUUAAGAUAAUUUGUGCCUAAACAAGCAAAAAUAUCUAACAUUGGGGUGAGAAAAUUGUGUUUUAAUUAAGUUUUUAAGAUAAAAGAAAACUUAAGAUUUUUUUUCUCACACUAUUGGAAGAUAUUUUUGCUUGUUUUAAGCACAAUUUCACUUAAUGUAUG